CUCUACUAAAAAUACAAAAAUUAGCCAGGCGUGGUGGCGCGCGCCUGUAAUCCGAGCUACUCGGGAGGCUGAGGCAGAAGAACCCCUUGAACCCGGGAGGCGGAGGUUGCAGUGAGCCGAGAUCGCGCCACUGCACUCCUGCCUGGGACACAAAGCAUGACUCCGUCUCAAAAUAAAAAUAAUCGUUAGAUCAUUAAGUGCGGGAAUUCUAAAAAGGGUCUGGAACUCUCGGACGGUUGUGGAUCACUACACCGGAAGCUUAAGGGGAAUGAAAUCGGCGAGAAAUGAGGGUCCUAAAGCCCGGGCCGAAGUGACAGGUCCACCCCUAGUGACUCCAACAGUUCAGAGAGAGGCCUCAUUUACAAGGGGACCCUACAGUCCAUCUGCCCUGCUUCUCUGGGCAAAAGGUUCCCUCCAUAUUUCCUCCAUCCGGUAGAAAGCUUACUAUGUGUAGAUGCUCCAAGUGUCCGUGUCUGCUAACACACGUGUGAAGUGCCUCUAGAUGCUCUCCAGACCCUCUCUCUCGUGAAGAAGAAAGUCCAGGACAACUCAAGUGGUUUGCUCGGACAGUCAUCUUCAAGAUCAGGACAAUACCACUGGGCUUGCAAAUUCAACUUUACAGUGGAAAAUAAGUUUUGGAGAAUGCACCUCACAAAGGAAUAUAAAUUCUCCAAGAUGCUCCUGGAGAAGUUUGAACACAGUAAGAUUAAUCUUUCCAUUGCCACC